GACGAACGCUGGCGGCGUGCCUAAUACAUGCAAGUCGAACGAGAGCGACCGGUGCUUGCACUGGUCAAUCUAGUGGCGAACGGGUGAGUAACACGUGGGUAACCUGCCCAUCAGAGGGGGAUAACAUUCGGAAACGGAUGCUAAAACCGCAUAGGUCUUCGAACCGCAUGGUUUGAAGAGGAAAAGAGGCGCAAGCUUCUACUGAUGGAUGGACCCGCGGUGCAUUAGCUAGUUGGUGAGGUAACGGCUCACCAAAGCCGUGAUGCAUAGCCGACCUGAGAGGGUGAUCGGCCACAUUGGGACUGAGACACGGCCCAAACUCCUACGGGAGGCAGCAGUAGGGAAUCUUCCGCAAUGGACGCAAGUCUGACGGAGCAACGCCGCGUGAGUGAAGAAGGUUUUCGGAUCGUAAAACUCUGUUGUUAGAGAAGAAUAAGUGCUAGAGUAACUGUUAGCGCCUUGACGGUAUCUAACCAGAAAGCCACGGCUAACUACGUG
rnacentral:rRNA from 1 species